rnacentral:rRNA from 1 species
UAAAACUCAAAUGAAUUGACGGGGGCCCGCACAAGCGGUGGAGCAUGUGGUUUAAUUCGAUGCAACGCGAAGAACCUUACCUGGUCUUGACAUCCACAGAAGUUUCCAGAGAUGGGAUUGUGCCUUCGGGAACUGUGAGACAGGUGCUGCAUGGCUGUCGUCAGCUCGUGUUGUGAAAUGUUGGGUUAAGUCCCGCAACGAGCGCAACCCUUAUCCUUUGUUGCCAGCGGUUAGGCCGGGAACUCAAAGGAGACUGCCAGUGAUAAACUGGAGGAAGGUGGGGAUGACGUCAAGUCAUCAUGGCCCUUACGACCAGGGCUACACACGUGCUACAAUGGCGCAUACAAAGAGAAGCGACCUCGCGAGAGCAAGCGGACCUCAUAAAGUGCGUCGUAGUCCGGAUUGGAGUCUGCAACUCGACUCCAUGAAGUCGGAAUCGCUAGUAAUCGUGGAUCAGAAUGCCACGGUGAAUACGUUCCCGGGCCUUGUACACACCGCCCGUCACACCAUGGGAGUGGGUUGCAAAAGAAGUAGGUAGCUUAACCUUCGGGAGGGCGCUUACCACUUUGUGAUUCAUGACUGGGGUGAAGUCGUAACAAGGUAACCGUAGGGGAACCUGCGGUUGGAUCACCUCCUUACCUUAAAGAAGC